GGUUGAUCCUGCCAGUAGUCAUACGCUUGUCUCAAAGAUUAAGCCAUGCAUGUGUAAGAAUAAAUAACUUUAUCUUGAAUCUGCGAAUGGCUCAUUAUAUCAGUUAUAGUUUAUUUGGUAAUUCUUUACUACUUGGAUAACCGUAGUAAUUCUAGAGCUAAUACAUGCAUAAAAACCCGACUUCUGGAAGGGUUGUAUUUAUUAGAAAUAAACCAAUUCGUUCUCGGACGAUAUUGUGGUGAGUCAUAAUAACUUAUCGGAUCGCAGUGGCUUAUGCCGGCGAUGAAUCAUU
rnacentral:rRNA from 1 species